rnacentral:rRNA from 1 species
UGCGUAGGCGGGUAGGUAAGUCAGUGGUGAAAUCUCAGAGCUUAACUCUGAAACUGCCAUUGAUACUAUUUAUCUUGAAUAUUGUGGAGGUAAGCGGAAUAUGUCAUGUAGCGGUGAAAUGCUUAGAUAUGACAUAGAACACCCAUUGCGAAGGCAGCUUACUACACAUAUAUUGACGCUGAGGCACGAAAGCGUGGGGAUCAAACAGGAUUAGAUACCCUGGUAGUCCACGCCCUAAACGAUGAUUACUCGACAUACGCAAUACACCGUGUGUGUCUGAGCGAAAGCAUUAAGUAAUCCACCUGGGAAGUACGACCGCAAGGUUGAA